UACGUAGGGGGCUAGCGUUGUCCGGAAUCAUUGGGCGUAAAGCGCGUGUAGGCGGCCCGGUAAGUCCGCUGUGAAAGUCGGGGGCUCAACCCUCGAAAGCCGGUGGAUACUGUCGGGCUCGAGUGCGGAAGAGGCGAGUGGAAUUCCUGGUGUAGCGGUGAAAUGCGCAGAUAUCAGGAGGAACACCGAUUGCGAAGGCAG
rnacentral:rRNA from 1 species